CUGGAUAAUUGCGAUCUUCAGUUUCCAGCAAACAUUGUUUUUGGUUUUACUAGAGGGACGUGCGUGUCAUGGAGAGUGAGGAUUUGCCUCGAAAGGCACUCCAAAAAUUGAACAGAGAAAUCCCAAGCAAGCUGCCCGAAUUUGCCUGUAUAGUCUUGUUCUACAUUAUAUAAAGGACCAGACAAAUCAAAUUGGUGUUUUUUGGUUUCCGCCCGCCCUGGAUGCCGUUGACAUUAUGACCGCAGAGGAUUCCAGCACAGCCAUGAGCAGCGACCCGGCCGCCGCCUGCUCGGCCAAGGUGCCCGAGGGCGUGGCGGGCGCGCCCAACGAGGCGGCGCUGGUGGCGCUGCUGGAGCGCACCGGCUACAGCAUGGUGCAGGAGAACGGGCAGCGCAAGUACGGCGGCCCGCCGCCCGGCUGGGAGGGCGCGCACCCGCAGCGCGGCUGUGAGGUCUUCGUGGGCAAGAUCCCGCGCGACGUGUACGAGGACGAGCUGGUGCCCGUGUUCGAGACAGUGGGCCGCAUCUACGAGCUGCGCCUCAUGAUGGACUUCGACGGCAAGAACCGCGGCUACGCCUUCGUCAUGUACUGCCACAAGCACGAGGCCAAGCGCGCCGUGCGCGAGCUCAACAACCACGAGAUCCGGCCGGGCCGCCUGCUGGGCGUGUGCUGCAGCGUCGACAACUGCCGCCUCUUCAUCGGCGGCAUCCCCAAGAUGAAGAAGCGCGAGGAGAUCCUGGAGGAGAUCGCCAAGGUCACCGAGGGCGUGCUCGACGUCAUCGUCUACGCCAGCGCGGCCGACAAGAUGAAGAACCGCGGCUUUGCCUUCGUCGAGUAUGAGAGCCACCGCGCCGCCGCCAUGGCGCGCCGCAAGCUCAUGCCCGGCCGCAUCCAGCUGUGGGGCCACCAGAUCGCCGUGGACUGGGCCGAGCCCGAGAUCGACGUGGACGAGGACGUGAUGGAGACCGUGAAGAUCCUGUACGUGCGCAACCUCAUGAUCGAGACCACCGAGGACACCAUCAAGAAGAGCUUCGGCCAGUUCAACCCCGGCUGCGUGGAGCGUGUCAAGAAGAUCCGCGACUACGCCUUCGUGCACUUCAGCAGCCGCGAGGACGCAGUGCACGCCAUGAACAACCUCAACGGCACCGAGCUGGAGGGCUCGUGCCUCGAGGUCACACUCGCCAAGCCCGUGGACAAGGAGCAGUACUCCCGCUACCAGAAGGCGGCCAAGGGCGGCAGUGCGGCCGAGGCGGCGGCGCCACAGCCCAGCUACGUGUACUCGUGCGACCCCUACACGCUGGCCUACUACGGCUACCCCUACAACGCGCUCAUCGGGCCCAACAGGGACUACUUCGUGAAAGCAGGCAGCAUAAGAGGCCGAGGGCGAGGUGCAGCUGGCAACAGAGCCCCAGGGCACAGGGGUUCCUACCUCGGGGGAUAUUCUGCUGGCCGUGGUAUAUAUAGCCGAUAUCAUGAAGGGAAAGGAAAGCAGCAAGAAAAAGGAUAUGAACUUGUGCCGAAUUUGGAAAUCUCUGCCGUUAAUCCAGUUGCCAUUAAACCUGGUACAGUGGCCAUCCCUGCCAUUGGACCCCAGUAUUCCAUGUUUCAGGCAGCCCCAGCCCCUAAAAUGAUUGAAGAUGGCAAAAUCCACACAAUGGAGCACAUGAUCAGCCCUAUUGCUGUGCAGCCAGACCCAGCUAGUGCUGCUGCAGCUGCUGCCGCCGCCGCUGCUGCCGCCACUGCUGUCAUUCCUGCCGUGUCCACGCCACCACCUUUCCAGGGCCGCCCAAUAACUCCUGUGUACACGGUGGCUCCAAACGUUCAGAGAAUCCCCGCUGCCGGGAUCUACGGGGCCAGUUACGUGCCAUUUGCUGCUCCGGCCACAGCCACGAUCGCCACACUACAGAAGAACGCGGCAGCGGCCGCCGCCGUGUACGGAGGAUACGCAGGCUACAUACCUCAGGCCUUCCCCGCUGCUGCUAUCCAGGUCCCCAUUCCCGACGUCUACCAGACAUACUGAGGGCAAGAGCAGAGACAAACCACAGAAACACCACUGAAGGAACGCUUUAUUUAUGAAGAAAGAACGUGUCAGAUUAGCACACGCAUGAAACCUGAAAGUGAAGAAUAGUUAUCAACCAUCGUGCGGAAAUAUUUUAUAUACAUGAAGUUUUCACUAGUUUUUUAAGACUAUUUUCACCUUAGCAGGCCUGUGUUCAUACAUUUCUAAGAGACUUGCAAUGGUUCGUGCCUUGAUACCAUCUUUUAAAAAUUUGUAUACUGUACUACAUUUGUAUAGAGGUUUUUUUUUUUUAAGGAUAUAUUUUCAGUAUGAAGGUUAUUUUCUUAACUUCUGCACUCCAGAGAUUUCUAUUUUGUAGUACCUUCAAUAAUAUAUCAACUAUAUAUUAAAAAAAAGCACACUUGAGCAGCUAGGGAACUAUUUUGAAAAGUAUAUUCAAUAUUUAAAGAUACAAACAAUAGUGCUCUAAAAUACUAUGUAAAACUAUUUUAAAGGUUAUACUGGAAAGUGCAAUUUUAAAAUGAGUAAAACCUCUGUAUUUCUGCUGGCAUUAAGGGUUGAUGGUGUUACCAUGUGUCAUACAUGAUGGUUCUAUUUUUUAAAAAACAUAACACUCAAUCUGUCCUUAAGCCAACAUUGCAAAGAGUCACACUUCUGAGUCCAAACACUGGAAAGCUCUCACCUGUGACCAUUAUACUGGGCUUUCUCCAUGUGCCUUUACUUUUAAACAUGCCUCCUACCACAUCCCUCCCACCCUCCCUUCCUCCCCCAACACCCAGUCCAACCUCAGUGUUUGGCAAGUCUAGGACCAAUGAGUAACUCUGAUAGAGAAAAAAACUGAUGGCUUUUAUACUUCUUCCUGGGUUUUUGUUGGGUUUUUUGUUGUAUUGUGUGGUUUUGGUUUUGGUUUUGGUUGGGGAGGUAUUUUCAAUAGCAGAGUAAGCACAAGGUUUUAGUAGGUUUGCGUAAGAUAUCUUUGCAUAGCUAUUUAAUUGUCCAAUAUAAAACUUCAGUUCCUUUUCUAAUGCUUUAGUUUAUACGUUUUUGAAGUAAGAGUUUGUAGGGGCAAAGAAUGUAUGUUAUUAUAGACAAGACCCCCCAAAGACUCUUGUCAGCAGAAAGUUAUGCUUCUAGUUGCCUUAUGUAUGAAAAAUGCCUAUGGUGGUCAAGGGUGUUGGAAACAUGUUUAUUGAAUGGGUCUUUCCUCCGCUGCUGUGCAUUUGGCAGGUGAACUGAAUUGGGGUGUGCACAUCCAGGCGGAGGUGAAGGAGAGACCUGUAGGAGUUAAAAGAUCGUUUGUAAAUAACUUCUAAUACUUGUUUUUAGUCCUUUUAUGUUGCAGAAGUUCAUGGUAUGUAGUUUAAUGAAAAAUGAAACCAUUUUAUUUCAAUGUUAUUAAAAAGGGUUUUAUUAAGAAGUAAAUGUAUCAUGGCAGUGUUUUGUGCCUGUUUAAAGGCUUUUGUUUAGCAGAGUGAAUGUAAAAUACAGUAAAAUAUUAAUAUUGUCAUCUAUCUUAUGAAAGACGUCAACUUGGAAUUUUUUUUUAAAGGCUCAAGGAAGUGAGGUGUGCAAUAGGAAGACAGUAUGCAGUCAUGUCUGUGUCAUGGGAGCGAUCCAUAAACUCUUUCCAUUCACUGGAUUUUUGUUGAUGGCUGUAUUCUUGUGGAUUAAUAAGAAGAUCAUGCCCUUAGCAAAUAAUUUUUUGUUUUAAAUUAAGAGAUUCCCAAAUGCUUUUCCCCCCACUCAUGUUGGGAUGAGAUGAGUUUUUUUAUGUGUGAUAUUUAUUUAACUAUUCUAUAAAAUUAUUAAGUGCCUGCUAAGGCCUUUAAACAUUCCUAACAUUCCUUUCCAUCAUUCUUAAAUGACAUAAAGUAAUUGUGCAAUGUUCUUGAUGAUGUACCUAGCAAGCUGCAUGCAAACUCGAAUCUAUUGAAUGACUAAUCCAACAAAAUGCAAUUUGGAUCAGAUCCUCAACCCCUUGACUGUGUGAAAGAAGUACUCUCCUUCCAGUGAAGGAUUGUCACAGAGGUUCACUCUUUGAAACUCUGCCCCAGUGUUCUUACUGUAUUUUACAUGUGCCUGUAAAUUAUUUGCAAAAAAAGAAAAAAAAAAUGGUAACUUAACAUGGCAACUACCAAACUACCUUAAAACAAAUGUUGGUGACAUAGCCAGUUAAGUGUCAGUGAGCCUCCUGUCUGUGGUCUUGUUUGUUCCUGUUGUUUCAAAACCAUUUCAUGUACACUACUGAGGUGAGUUUAUAACUUGAAAUGUGAACUUUUUUUUAGGGUUAAGAACAAACUAUAUAAAUGUUAAAAAAAAAAAAGUUUUAGAGUUCUGUUUUCAAAUGUGCUAGUAGUUUAGUAACUUAGCUGCUUUGUAUUUGAGAAGCUUUUAUUUAGAUCUUGCUCCAUUUAAAGUACGUUCUUAGGAUGUACGUACUAAAUAAAGCUUUCUUUAAAGCAA